rnacentral:rRNA from 1 species
GUCUACAGCCAUGCCACCCUGAACGUGCUCGAUCUCAUCUGAUCUCGGAAGCUAAGCAGGGUCGACCCUGGUUAGUACUUGGAUGGGAGACCACCUAGGAAUAUCGGGUGCUGUAGGCG